rnacentral:tRNA from 1 species
GAUGUGGUACUUUAAUAAAAAGGAUUGAUUUGCAUUUAGUUAUUAGAAUCUGUGUUCUCUACAUUU